UAAUUAUGUCUCCAUAAUGCAUGUUACAGGC
rnacentral:piRNA from 1 species